rnacentral:rRNA from 1 species
CCUACGGGAGGCAGCAGUGGGGGAUAUUGCACAAUGGGGGGAACCCUGAUGCAGCGACGCCGCGUGGGUGAAGGAGCGUUUCGGCGCGUAAAACUCUAUCGGCAGAGAAGAAGAAGGACGGUACCUGACUAAGAAGCCCCGGCUAACUACGUGCCCGCAGCCGCGGUAAGACGCAGGGGGCAAGCGUGAUCCGGAGUUACUGGGUGUAAAGGGGGCGCAGACGGAAGCGGAAGCCAGGGGUGAAAGCCCGGGGCGCAACCCCGGGAGUGCAGUUGGAACUGGGAGGCGGGAGUGCAGGAGGGGGGGGCGGAAUUCCAGGUGUAGCGGUGAAAUGCGUAGAUAGCAGGAGGAACACCGGUGGCGAAGGCGGCCUGCUGGACUGCGACUGACGUUGAGGCCCGAAAGCGUGGGGAGCAAACAGGAUUAGAUACCCGGGUAGUC